CCUACGGGAGGCAGCAGUGAGGAAUAUUGGUCAAUGGGCGGGAGCCUGAACCAGCCAAGUCGCGUGAGGGAAGACGGUCCUAUGGAUUGUAAACCUCUUUAGGCGGGGAGCAAUGCCGGGCACGCGUGCCCGGAGGGAGAGUACCCGAAGAAUAAGCAUCGGCUAACUCCGUGCCAGCAGCCGCGGUAAUACGGAGGAUGCGAGCGUUAUCCGGUUUUAGUGGGUUUAAAGGGUGCGUAGGCGGAGUUUUAAGUCAGCGGUAAAAUGUCCGGGCUCAACCCGGGCCGGUCGUUGAAACUGGGGAUCUUGAGUGGGCGAGAAGUAUGCGGAAUGCGUGGUGUAGCGGUGAAAUGCAUAGAUAUCACGCAGAACUCCGAUUGCGAAGGCAGCAUACCGGCGCCCGACUGACGCUGAGGCACGAAAGCGUGGGGAUCGAACAGGAUUAGAUACCCUUGUAGUC
rnacentral:rRNA from 1 species